UAGGGAAUCUUCGGCAAUGGACGAAGGUCUGACCGAGCAACGCCGCGUGAGUGAAGAAGGUUUUCGGAUCGUAAAACUCUGUUGGUAGAGAAGAACGUUGGUGAGAGUGGAAAGCUCAUCAAGUGACGGUAACUACCCAGAAAGGGACGGCUAACUACGUG
rnacentral:rRNA from 1 species